rnacentral:rRNA from 1 species
UACAGAGGUCUCAAGCGUUGUUCGGAUUCAUUGGGCGUAAAGGGUGCGUAGGUGGCGCCGUAAGUGGGGUGUGAAAUUUCGGAGCUUAACUCCGAAACUGCAUUCCAUACUGCCGUGCUUGAGGACUGGAGAGGAGACUGGAAUUACGGUGUAGCGGUGAAAUGCGUAGAUAUCGUAAGGAAGACCAGUGGCGAAGGCGGGUCUCUGGACAGUUCCUGACGCUGAGGCACGAAGGUCAGGGGAGCAAACGGG